rnacentral:rRNA from 1 species
CAUGUCUAAGUAUAAGCAAUUAUACCGCGAAACUGCGAAUGGCUCAUUAUAUAAGUUAUCGUUUAUUUGAUAAUACUUUACUACUUGGAUAACCGUGGUAAUUCUAGAGCUAAUACAUGCUAAAAAUCCCGACUUCGGAAGGGUUGUAUUUAUUAGAUAAAAACCCAACGCCCUUCGGGGCUCCUUGGUGAAUCAUAAUAACUUAACGAAUCGCAUGGCCUUGCGCCGGCGAUGGUUCAUUCAAAUUUCUGCCCUAUCAACUUUCGAUGGUAGGAUAGUGGCCUACCAUGGUGGCAACGGGUAACGGGGAAUUAGGGUUCGAUUCCGGAGAGGGAGCCUGAGAAACGGCUACCACAUCCAAGGAAGGCAGCAGGCGCGCAAAUUACCCAAUCCCGAUACGGGGAGGUAGUGACAAUAAAUACUGAUACGGGGCUCUUUUGGGUCUCGUAAUUGGAAUGAGAACAAUUUAAAUCCCUUAACGAGGAACAAUUGGAGGGCAAGUCUGGUGCCAGCAGCCCCC